UUGUUAGUGGCAGCGCACACUUUAUCACAAUCCAACAACAACAGCAAUAACAACAAUAAUGCCAACAAGAACAACAAUAACAACAACUACGACUGCAGCAACGGUGGCAAAAACAAGAGAAUUAAAUAAAAAUGCACUCGGCAAAAGCGCACACACAGAAAUUUUGUAUUUCAAGUGCAUAUUUUGUUUGAUAAAUUGUUUGCCACGUUGUGCCAAGUCGAAACAAAAAGCCCGUGCCUGGAAUGGGCAUCCAGGGAGACACAAAUACUCGUGCGCAUACUACUAUGCCCUGUCCAAGGAGCAGUGCCAUGCGGAAUUUAUGUGUGUCUACAUGCAUAGCUCCGCAUUCUCGUACAGUCAUAGCUAACAAAAGCGGAUGUCUGCCAUAACUUAAAAUUUCGUAGUGAAAGUGAAUUACGAGGGAUAAAAAGGACUACGUUUUUAUAAGUCGAGACAAGCGCUCUAUAAUGCUGUGCUACUUAAAUCAUUCGCUGUAAUCAUCAUCUUACUGAUUUCUGAUCAUCUUUAAUUGAAGGAGAAGGACUAAAAGCACAAUAAAUAUAUGCACCUUGCCCUCAACCGUUUAUUGGAGCAAUCUGACUUCACAUUUCAUUUGGGGUGCCCAAAAGAAUUACACCAGACUCAGGCCGGCGAGCACACCCGGGCCAGAUAGUUGAUAGUUUUAAUCUUGGUUUGUAGACUUGUACUCAUAAUAUAUAAAAACGCCCUUUUAUACCCUGUACAUGAAAUGUAAAAUAGUAUACUACGAUCAUGAUCAGGGUGACAAUAUGAGUCGAUAUAGCGAAGUCCAUCUGUCUCUGUGU